GAGUUUGAUCCUGGCUCAGAUUGAACGCUGGCGGCAUGCCUUACACAUGCAAGUCGAACGGUAACAGGUCUUCGGAUGCUGACGAGUGGCGAACGGGUGAGUAAUACAUCGGAACGUGCCCGAUCGUGGGGGAUAACGAAGCGAAAGCUUUGCUAAUACCGCAUAAGAUCUACGGAUGAAAGCAGGGGACCGCAAGGCCUUGCGCGAACGGAGCGGCCGAUGGCAGAUUAGGUAGUUGGUGGGAUAAAAGCUUACCAAGCCGACGAUCUGUAGCUGGUCUGAGAGGACGACCAGCCACACUGGGACUGAGACACGGCCCAGACUCCUACGGGAGGCAGCAGUGGGGAAUUUUGGACAAUGGGCGAAAGCCUGAUCCAGCCAUGCCGCGUGCAGGAUGAAGGCC
rnacentral:rRNA from 1 species